rnacentral:lncRNA from 1 species
AAGAGGAUAUCUUUACGUCGUUAAACGAGAAAACGCCUCAUAUCGACCAUUAAAAUUAUAAAUUUUAAAAUUCUUUGAUCAUUAGGCAAAUGAUGUAAAAAUGAUUUGAAAUUUGAUUUCUAAACACUUCAAAUGAUAUAGAUCAUGUUCAACAGUGCCGAUCGUCGAUUUAAAAGUUCCAUCAUCGAAAACAAAUGGGUGGCAACGAAGCCCGUUUGCUAUCGAUAGUAUUCUAGCUCAACUUUAUCUAUAUAUAUAUAUAUAGAGAGAGAGAGAGAGAGAGAGAGUCCGGCUAUGGUACUUGUAAAUUUUUUACCGUUAGAUCUACACUUUUGAUGAUUUUCACUCGUUAGAUUAUACUAUUCAACCAAUCCCCCACUCAACCCUAGGGGACCCACAUCAUACUAACAGCACAUUUUUUUAAUCUAAUGGCCAAAAAUCUGUAAACACUAAUAACUUGGUACUUUUAACUAACAAUGUAUCCGCGUUUUACAGCAGGUGUGAUUUUUAAGUUUAUAAUUACUAUAUACAUUAUGCAAAGUCAUCGAUCUAAUAAAAUCAAAUAUAAGUGCUAAAUUUUAUAAAAGCAUUCAAUAUAUAUGUGUGUAUUCUUCGGAGCAAAAUAGUUAAAUUCAUAAAAGUUAUUCGUUCUCUUUGUAGGAUCAUUGUAAUAUUUGAUAUUAAAAUAGACCAUUUUAGUUGUAAUAAAAUAUCGCAUCUAAAUAAUCUAUCUAACCAAAUUAUGAUCUAUUCACAUUUCUUUCCCGGUAGUUAUGCUUUGCACUUCUAAAUCUUAAUUAUUGGUAUUCAAUUACUUUUUUUUUUUUUUGAGAGAUAGGUAGCACGCUACCCGCUUUGUUUAUUUCAUUUAGAAAUAAACUUAGCUGGAAAUGUGAAUCAACCAGGAUUCGAACUUGGAACCUCGGAUAUCAACCACUAAGCCCUUUGCCACUUGCUCUAGAGACAGUCGGUGUAUUCAAGUACAUAUUAAAACACAAAACUUUU